rnacentral:lncRNA from 1 species
GGCUCUUUCAGGCCACAGGUCGGAGCCCUGGCUUCUGUCCGCAGGCUCCGCCCCCUCCCGGCUUACGCUGUUUGCUGCGGGGCGCGGCCGGUGCCCUGGGGCCUUUCGAGGAUAUUACCUAGUGGAAACCAACACUAGCGAGAAAAAUCUUCUGUGGCUUCAUUUUCCACUAAUUGAAGAGAAAGGCGCUGGCUUUGAAAAAACAAACCAAAACCAGUUCCAGUUUCCAGAGGGGACCGUAGGCCUGCAGUAUGUGGAGUUGGGUAGCAGUUGCUAGGCAAAGGGGCUAUUGUCAUCUCUUGCAUGAUUGUAGUGAAGCACCAAGUGAUGACAAAAGGAAGUGCUUCAAAAUUCUGCUAGUGAAUAUGUGAAUUUAAUGUCCAGAAGCAGUUAUUAAGCAUUUAAUGUGCCAUCUGAACUUUAACUUCAAUAUUCCUAAUGUAUUGAUGUUUACAUCUUCAUCUCUCUUCUUAUAAUCACUUAUGUAUUCAUUUAACUCUUUAUACACUUCUGACAUAUGUUCCUUUUAUGGUAGACCAUUUUACACACAACCAUAUUAAACACUUAUUAAAAAUGACCAAACAUUGGUUAAUAUGAACA